UGUAACAUUUUUAAAGUUUUUGUUUAAAAAAAUCUAAUUGGUCGUUACAAUGAUGACGCCAAUGUUACAAUAAUAAUAUAUUUGAUUAUUGAUUUAUAUAUGUUUCUCGAUUUCAGGUGCUCAUACAUUUGGAAGAGCUCAUUGCUCUUUAUUUGUUAGCCGAUUGUACAACUUCAACGGUACAGGAAGUCCGGAUCCAACUCUUAACACAACUUACUUACAACAAUUGCGCACAAUAUGUCCCAAUGGUGGACCUGGCACGAACCUUACCAAUUUCGAUCCAACGACUCCUGAUAAAUUUGACAAGAACUAUUACUCUAAUCUUCAAGUGAAAAAGGGUUUGCUCCAAAGUGAUCAAGAGUUGUUCUCAACAUCUGGUUCAGAUACCAUUAGCAUUGUCAACAAAUUUGCAACCGAUCAAAAAGCUUUUUUUGAGAGCUUUAAGGCUGCUAUGAUCAAAAUGGGAAAUAUUGGUGUGUUAACUGGGAAACAAGGAGAGAUUAGAAAACAAUGCAACUUUGUUAAUUCAAAAUCAGUAGAACUAGGUUUAGUCAAUGUGGCUUCCACAGAUUCAUCAGAUGAGGGUAUGGUUAGCUCAAUGUAAUUGUAGUGAUUGGAAGCAACUAAUAAAUUAAUAAGCUAUAACUAGGCACAUUCAUGGUAUGUGUGAGAUAGUUGUUAGAUGCUUUGUGAGCUAAAAUCGUUUGUAUUUCAUUUGAAGUGUUUCUUUGAGUUGUGAGUUGAUAAUGAUCAUUUUCUGUUUCUUAUUUCGGACUUGCUUUAGCAUUAAUUUUACAAGUUUUAAGUUAAUGGAGUGCAAGACAAAGACAUCUCUUACACUAGAUUUAUCCACUUUGUAUGAUAUUUCCCAUUAAUUUACAUGCUAAUUUUGUAUAAAAAAGUAAUAAGCAAGUAUCUCCAUGGUAUAUAUUCGUAUAUUUUCUAUUACUCAACAAACUUAGUAAAAAAAAAAAAAGGGUCAUUUCAUUUAUCACCGGAUGAUAUUGAACAAUUUAUCAAUUUUACGACUUUAAAAAUCAGUGAUUUGUUCUUACUUUAGGCUCGGUCAUACAAAUACUGAUGUUAUUACCUCUUUUUUUUUUUUUUUUUUUUUUUUUUUGGAAAAAUGAUGUUAUUACCUCUUUUGAAUUAAGUUAUGGAUUCUCCAAUCCACAUAAUUUUAACACAUGACCCCAUAUAUAUGCGCGGCUAAUUUAAUCUCAUCUAAAAAGCAUGAAGAAAUAAGUUAGUAAACAUACCCUUCCAUUUACUUUGACAAAAAAACUCAAGUCUUUCUUUUCAAAUAUGGUGACAUUGGUGGUAUAUACUUAAAUCCCUUAAAAAUUUGAUUUAAGUAAUGUUUAUUUAGUAAAUAUACUUUAUUAAGCAGACUCUCUUUUCAUAAGGUUCAUAAAUUUUAAUAAUUAAAAUAUUAUUUCAUUGUUUAAAUAUGGUGAUGUAUAAUUAUUGAUUGAAAUCUAAUUUAGAAAAUUUUGUUUGAGAGAUGUUAAAUUGAAGAGACGAGUAAGACUUGAUAAGUCACAAACCCAAAUCAUUUUGAUUUGGGAACACACACAUAAGUAAGGAAGAUAAAAGAAAAUAAAUUAAAAACUCCAAAUUGGAUAUGUAUGUUUAAGUGCGUGCGCGUCCAAAUUAUUUUUGUCUAAGAUUAUGUAUUGUGCCCAAACCAAUUAAUGUUGCUCUAAAGAGAUUGAAGGUUUAUUUAUUCCUAUAAGAUUAACUUACUGUUGUGAAUUCGAACUCAAAACUCAUACCAAUACAAACUAUGAUGUGUGGAGCAAAUAAAAGUAGUAAUCAAUAUCAAAGUGAACACAAGCAACAACAAUAAUAACAACAGCUAGAUCUAAUCUAGUAAUCAAAGUGAAAAGCUCAAAACCACAAACAAAAGAUAAAGAGAGAAGAGAAACAAACACACCAAAGAUUGUUGACCCAGUUCGGUCCAACUUGACCUAAUCUGGGGGAGAGGUUGAUCUCUCCAAUCCACUAUCUAAGAGUUCUUACAAAGUGAUACAAAUGGGUUACAAGAAAUUAGCUUAAACAAGCUCACAAAGAACAAAUCUAAUUUCUACCCAUUUUCCCAAUUUCACCAAUGAACAAGAGACUCAAUGAUUUUCACUCACCCAAGGUGUUUACAAUGUUUCCCAACCCAAGAGAACUCUAAUCAAAGACCCUCAACCCUAAAGUUACCUCCUUUGAUUUCCCAAGUUUUCCUCUCUUGAAGUUCUCUCUCUUUCCUCCUUCAAAAAUGAGCUGAAACACUUAAAGAGUACACAGUGAUAGACAAAAUCGCGAUGCGCCAGUGAAAAUCGCGCCACAGUUGAAGCGUGCGACCCAAGGUACGACAACCUUAUCCACAAACCGCGUCACGCCUGCACCAAUCGCACCAUGAUUUGCCUUCAGCAGAAACCAUCCAUUCUGCCACCAAAAUCGCGCCACGCCUCCCAAAAUCACGGCACGAUUUUGGCAUUUCACAACAUCACAAUUUGAAGACAAUUUCAACACUUGUCUUUAGAGCACAAAUUAAGAAAUCAAAGAUGAAAAUAUUUUGUUGGAAAUUGUGCAUUCAAUAUUCUAGAAAUUUAAAAUCUUAUCUUCUCAAGACAUAAUUUACUACUAUAAUUUAAUUUCAUUUUUAAAUUCUUAACUUGUAUCCUAAAGGUACAAGUUAACACUACCCAAAUUAUAAAUGAAUGAUGUAGUAUUUUUGGAACCACUUAAAUGACAAGUCAACACUCCCAAAAUUACCCGAUUUUCAUUUGCUUUUUAAAAAACUGAAAUAUGAGGAAGGUCAUUGUGAGAAUGAUAUGAUUGAUAAACAAAAUCUACUUUGUUUAUAAAUGCUAUUACCUAACAUAUACAGGUGGCGAUAAUCAUUGUAGCAUAAGAUAAAGCAAAACAGGUAAACUAAUAAUGGCAAGAGUAAUGAUAUUUGAACAAAUUUUUUGGUACAGCUUUUGGGACAAUCUUGUUGUGUUCUCUUUUUAUUGGUCAAAAACAAUAUAGAGAGAAAAAGGAAGAGAAAAAAUAAGAAGAUAAUAUGAGUAUGAGAGAGAAGGUUGUACAAAAAUUAUAUAAAAAUGAUUGUACAAAUAUCAUUUCUCUAAUGACAAAGAUAGAUAAGUCCACAAAAAAAUGUCAUAAUGAAGGUGUCGAAUGUCGAAAAAGAAAACUCUAUGAAGACCCAACAAGUUGGGGCGAGCUUUAAUGCAAUACUUCCAGCUAAGGCGGAUCCAUAAAUGUGCAAGAUAGGGCUUCAAAAAAUAUAAAUAAUCGGGGCCGGCUAUAACUUGUGCAAGCAUAAAAACUACAUAUUAGUUCUAAUUUGUUGCUGUUCAACCGUCUCAAAGUAAUACUCUCGUCAUUUCAGAAUAAAUGUUGUUUAUAAAAGUUUUGUAUUAAAAUAAUCGCUGUUAUGCUUUUUCAAUGCAACUUUAAUAAAUUUAUUCUAAGUUUGCUCUCACAUUAAUCUUAUAUGCACAACUUUUAAAUCAUUAUAUUUCACUUUGACAUUAAUGAUUUAAAUGUUAUAUUACUCUUAUAUUAAUCUUAUAAGCAAAAAAUUAUGCAUUUUAGAUUCAUUCAAUUAAUGAUGUAUGUGGGCUUUAUUAUAGACCACAUACAUCAUUCAGUUUAACAUAGUCGAGUAUAAACAAAAACUUGGUUGAGUUUUCUCGAGUUUAACACGUGUUAACUCGGUCAAACUCGCCAAACAUCUCGAUUUUACCAGAAACCGAGUUUACCUCCGAGUUAACACGAUUUCAGCACCUAAAAACGUAAAUUCGUCCGAGUUUACGAGUUAACACUCAAUUUGUGGAACAUUAUCCUCAAUCCCACGUAUUACUCAACUGACUUGAGAAAAAAAAAUGCACUCUUCCCGAUUCAAUUGUCUUAGCCUUCGCUUAAAUUUUCACCAACUAGAAGGACCCUCGCCUAAUCACACAUCAGCCGAUGUCGAUUAAUAAAGUAAUUAGUUUUAGGUUAGGUUUAAACAUAGUCAUAUGCCAAUCUAGCAAGUUAAUUUUCAUAUAUCAAAAUAGUUUUUGGAAAAAUAUACAUUGUUGACAAAUUUCAUAUACACAUAAUUUUUCUUAAUUAUUGUGUAUUAGUGAAGAGAGUUUUUCAUAUAUGGAUAUAUGUGGUAGCGUGUUUGUCCGUUUCAUUAAAAAGUCACCAUUCCCUUUACUAAUUACUUUCCAUUUUAGGAGAAACACUCUUUUAUGGGUCCCACCAAAAACUCUUUUCUUCUCUAUUUAUUUGGUAACCAAACAAAGGAAAUAGUAUACUCCUCUUUUAUCUCCAACCUCUCUCUUUCGUUCUAGUUUCCUAUGGAGCUAAACAAAUAUGCUAAAGUUUGAGGGAGUAAAUGCCAGCAAAUUGAGAUGAAGAUAUUUUGAAUUCUGAACAAAUUCGUGACGACCACGUUCCCGUAUAGACAGAGCAAUUUGAUUUAGGUAAAAAUACAACAAAGGAUUUCAACAUUGAAAAUAAGAAACUUCGAUGGUGAUUUGCCAUCUUUGUGGUCCACACAUGAGAGACGUGACACUAUAGCUAGUACAACUAUUUGUAUUUACACGUUACUCCCUCCGUCCCAAAUUGUACGACGUUUUCAGACAUAUUAAAAAAUACAAUUAAUAUUGUCUGGAAAAGAGAUAUUAUGAGUUGUUUUACAAAAUUGUCCUUAAUAAAUAAUAUGGGAAAGAUAAAUGAAAGAAUUGAAAGAAGAGAGGGUAAUAAAUAAUUAAGAUUAUAACAGAAAAAGUAACAUUAAUGUUGUAUUGGUAUUGUAAAGUGACAUAUAAUUUAAGUUAAAUUUUUUUCCCUAAAGCGACAUACAAUUUGGGACGGAGGGAGUAGUUUUUAGGUCAAUAGUUACACCUUAAACCCUUAAUAAUUGCUAGGCAAUGUUCUCACCGUUCAUUGCACAACAAGACUUUAUUACUAGCCAUUAUAUUUGUAUGUCUAUAAAUAAAUGCUCACAAUAAAUUAUAAGCACAUUCUCACUCUUCAAAACAAUGAACUCCUUAGCAACUUCUAUGUGGUGUGUUGUGCUUUUGGUUGUGCUUGGAGGACUACCCUUUUCCUCAGAUGCACAACUUAGUCCCACUUUUUACAGCAAAACUUGUCCAACUGUUAGUUCCAUUGUUAGCAAUGUAUUAACAAAUGUUUCUAAGACAGAUCAACGCAUGCUUGCUAGCCUCGUCAGGCUUCACUUUCAUGACUGUUUUGUUUUGGUAUGUCUUUAGGUGACUACUUUAUAUUUCUAAUAUUAUCUUUAGAUUUAUAAAUAUUAGUUUAAAAUAUAUUAUAAUACAAUAUGGUUAGUUCGAUCCAUGCGCAACUCCUAUAUAUUAUACAACUAAAAAUGGUAAAUAAUUGUCUACUACAACUGAUCAACAGACGUUUCCUAAAAAAAACGUCAAUUAGAUAUAUCUUCAUUUGUCCCUUUGAAAUUAACUGUCUUUUGAUCGAACUUUUAUUAUAAUGUCCCUUUUACAAAAUAGAAGGAUUAGAACAAAGAAACAAUAGAAAAAUAAUUCUUAAACACCUAAAACCAUUCUACCAUUAAAGAAAGAAGAAAUAAAUGGAAAUAAUAUAUGUGAUAGGUUGUUGAUAUAAUAGGAAGAGAGAGAUGAAGAGAAAAUAAAUGUAGAAGUAGAAUGUACGUAAGAAAAGUAAGAGAGAUGCAAAUAGGGUUCUAAUAAUUGUCUUGCACUUCUUUUCUUUAUAUUUUAUAAAAUUAUGCAUUAACUAGUAUUUUCUAAAAAUUGUAGGCCAAGUAUAUGAAUCAACUUUCUUUUUUAAGUUUUUAACUUUCAAGUAAAUUUUUAAUAUGCUUUUUUACCAUAUGUUCUUUAAUUUAUGCGUCAAAAAAUAAUGUGAUGCAUAAUUUUCACAGGGAUGUGAUGCCUCGGUUUUGUUGAACAAUACUGCUACGAUCGUAAGCGAACAACAAGCUUUUCCAAAUAACAACUCUUUAAGAGGUUUGGAUGUUGUAAAUCAGAUCAAAACUGCUAUAGAAAGUGCUUGUCCUAACACAGUUUCUUGUGCUGAUAUUCUUGCUCUUGCUGCUCAAGCAUCCUCUGUUCUGGUACAUAUGCCCUAAUUCUAAAUAUAUUUCUGUAAUUUAAUGCCUCGUUGAUCAUUAAAUUUCAAAUGCAAUAUUUAAAUGAUUCUAUUUCUGUUCUGAGUAUAUAAUACUAUAAUAUAUGCAUUUGAUAAUGGUUGCAAUCCAACAAAAAUGAUCAUAUAGUUAAUUAAGGUAGCGGCGCCGUCUGUAUUUUGUUUUCAGUUUUUGCCGCGAGUUUUUAUGCGCCUUGCAUUUACUCGACGUGAAUAAAUUUUCCGUUUCAAAAAAAAAAGUUAAUUAAGGUAGCUUCAAAAUCUAGGGUUAUUUUUAUAAUGAUUAAAUAAAAAAACCAUUUCAAGAAGUUAAUCAUCUAUGAAAAUUAAAUACUACAUCACAAGGCUAAGAGUAACACUUAUUUUACCUAUGAUGAAAUAAUACAGGCACAAGGUCCUAGUUGGACAGUUCCUUUAGGAAGAAGGGAUGGUUUAACUGCAAACCGGACACUUGCAAAUCAAAAUCUUCCGGCCCCAUUCAAUACCUUGGUUCAACUUAAAGCUGCAUUUACUGCCCAAGGCCUGAAUACUACUGAUCUAGUUGCACUCUCGGGUUUGUGCUCAUUUUAGCGAUGAUGUUGACGUUACAUAAAAUAAAAAUUAUAUAUAUGAUUAUUGAUUUAUAUAUGUUUCUCGUUUUCAGGUGCUCAUACGUUUGGAAGAGCUCAUUGCGCACAAUUUGUUGGUCGAUUGUACAACUUCAGCAGUACUGGAAGUCCGGAUCCAACUCUUAACACAACUUACUUACAACAAUUGCGCACAAUAUGUCCCAAUGGUGGACCUGGCACGAACCUUACCAAUUUCGAUCCAACGACUCCUGAUAAAUUUGACAAGAACUAUUACUCCAAUCUUCAAGUGAAAAAGGGCUUGCUCCAAAGUGAUCAAGAGUUGUUCUCAACAUCCGGUGCAGAUACCAUUAGCAUUGUCAACAAAUUCAGCACCGAUCAAAACGCUUUCUUUGAGAGCUUUAAGGCUGCA
rnacentral:lncRNA from 1 species